AUUGAACGCUGGCGGCAGGCUUAACACAUGCAAGUCGAGCGGGGUGAGGUGCUUCGGUACUGAUCCUAGCGGCGGACGGGUGAGUAAUGCUUAGGAAUCUGCCAUUUAGUGGGGGACAACAUUCCGAAAGGAGUGCUAAUACCGCAUACGUCCUACGGGAGAAAGCAGGGGAUCUUCGGACCUUGCGCUAAAUGAUGAGCCUAGGUCGGAUUAGCUAGUUGGUGGGGUAAAGGCCUACCAAGGCUACAAUCUGUAGCUGGUCUGAGAGGAUGAUCAGCCACACUGGGACUGAGACACGGCACAGACUCGUACGGGAGGCAGAAGUGGGGAAUAUUGGAAAAUGGGCGGAAGCCUGAUCCAGCAAUGCCGCGUGUGUGAAGAAGGCCUUUUGGUUAUGAAGCACUUUAAGCGAGGAGGAGGCUACCUGGAUUAAUACUCUAGGAUAGUGGACGUUACUCGCAGAAUAAGCACCGGCUAACUCUGUGCCAGCAGCCGCGGUAAUAC
rnacentral:rRNA from 1 species